GAUGAACGCUGGCGGCGUGCUUAACACAUGCAAGUUGAACGAAGCUCUUUGGACUGACCCCUUCGGGGAGAUUUUCUUAGAGACUUAGUGGCGAACGGGUGAGUAACACGUGAGCAACCAACCCUUGACAGUGGAAUAACAACGGGAAACCGUUGCUAAUACCGCAUGAAAUCUUGAAAUGGCAUCAUUUUAAGAUCAAAGAUUUAUCGGUCAAGGACGGGCUCGCGUCCGAUUAGGUAGUAGGUAAGGUAACGGCUUACCUAGCCUGUGAUCGGUAGCCGGACUGAGAGGUCGAACGGCCACAUUGGGACUGAGAUACGGCCCAGACUCCUACGGGAGGCAGCAGUGGGGAAUAUUGGGCAAUGGACGCAAGUCUGACCCAGCGACGCCGCGUGAAGGACGAAGGCAUUCGUGUUGUAAACUUCUUUGGAGAGGGACGAAAAUGACGGUACCUCUCGAACAAGCCACGGCUAACUACGUG
rnacentral:rRNA from 1 species